AAGCGGAGGAAAAGAAACUAACAAGGAUUCCCCUAGUAGCGGCGAGCGAAGCGGGAAGAGCUCAAAUUUAUAAUCUGGCACCUUCGGUGUCCGAGUUGUAAUCUCUAGAAGUGUUUUCCGCGUUGGACCGCACACAAGUCUGUUGGAAUACAGCGGCAUAGUGGUGAAACCCCCGUAUAUGGUGCGGACGCCCAGCGCUUUGUGAUACACUUUCAAUGAGUCGAGUUGUUUGGGAAUGCAGCUCAAAUUGGGUGGUAAAUUCCAUCUAAAGCUAAAUAUUGGCGAGAGACCGAUAGCGAACAAGUACCGUGAGGGAAAGAUGAAAAGCACUUUGGAAAGAGAGUUAACAGUACGUGAAAUUGUUGGAAGGGAAACGCUUGAAGUCAGACUUGCUUGCCGGAGCUUGCUUCGGUUUGCAGGCCAGCAUCAGUUUUCCGGGGUGGAUAAUAACGGUUUGAAGGUAGCAGUCUCGGCUGUGUUAUAGCUUUCCGUUGGAUACAUCCUGGGGGACUGAGGAACGCAGCGUGCUUUUUGCGAAAGACUCGUCUUUUUCACGCUUAGGAUGCUGG
rnacentral:rRNA from 1 species